rnacentral:rRNA from 1 species
GAACGCUGGCGGGUGCUUACACAUGCAGUCGAACGGAAAGGCCCUGGCUUGCAGGGUACUCGAGUGGCGAACGGGUGAGUAACACGUGGGUGAUCUGCCCUGCACUUCGGGAUAAGCCUGGGAAACUGGGUCUAAUACCGGAUAGGACCAUCGUUUAGUGUCGGUGGUGGAAAGUUUUUCGGUGCAGGAUGAGCUCGCGGCCUAUCAGCUUGUUGGUGGGGUAAUGGCCUACCAAGGCGUCGACGGGUAGCCGGCCCGAGAGGGUGGACGGCCACAUUGGGACUGAGACACGGCCCAGACUCCUACGGGAGUGCAGCAGUGGGGAAUAUUGCACAAUGGGCGCAAGCCUGAUGCAGCGACGCCGCGUGGGGGAUGAAGGCCUUCGGGUUGUAAACUCCUUUCAACCAUGACGAAGCAUUACGUGACGGUAGUGGUAGAAGAAGCACCGGCUAACUACGUGCCAGCAGCCGCGGUAAUACGUAGGGUGCGAGCGUUGUCCGGAAUUACUGGGCGUAAAUGAGCUCGUAGGUGGUUUGUCGCGUCGUCUGUGAAAUUCCGGGGCUUAACUCCGGGCGUGCAGGCGAUACGGGCAUAACUUGAGUGCUGUAGGGGAGACUGGAAUUCCUGGUGUAGCGGUGAAAUGCGCAGAUAUCAGGAGGAACACCGAUUGGCGAAGGCAGGUCUCUGGGCAGUAACUGACGCUGAGGAGCGAAAGCAUGGGUAGCGAACAGGAUUAGAUACCCUGGUAGUCCAUGCCGUUAACGGUGGGCGCUAGUCGUGUGGGGGGUCUUCCGCGACUUUCUGUUGGCCGUAGGCUAACGCAUUAAGCGCCCCGCCUGGGGAGUACGGGCGCAAGGCUAA